rnacentral:snRNA from 1 species
GUGCUCGCUUCGGCAGCACAUAUACUAAAAUUGGAACGAUACAGAGAAGAUUAGCGUGGCCCCUGCGCGAGGACGACAGAGCCUUUUCAUCUUCCC